UUUUUGUUAAAAAUAUAAAGUCUAACCUGCCCACUGAUAAUUAUUAAAGGGCCGCGGUAUUUUGACUGUGCAAAGGUAGCAUAAUCAUUUGUCUCUUAAUUGGAGGCUGGAAUGAAUGGUUGAAUGAAAUAUUAACUGUCUCAUUUUUAAAAUUUUAAAAACUUAGCUUUUAAGUCAAAAGGCUUAAAUGAAUUUAGAGGACGAGAAGACCCUAUAGAUCUUUAUAAUUUAUUUAAUUUUAUAAAAUAGAAAAAUAAUUAAUAAAAUUAAUAUAAUUAUUUUAUUGGGGUGAUAGGAAAAUUUAAUAAACUUUUUUUAUUAAUUAACAUUGAUUUAUGAUUAAUUGAUCCAUUUUUAGUGAUUAUAAGAUUAAGUUACCUUAGGGAUAACAGCGUAAUUUUUUUAGAGAGUUCUUAUCGAUAAAAAAGAUUGCGACCUCGAUGUUGAAUUAAAGGUUAUUUCUAGAUGUAGCAGUUUAGAGUUUAGGUCUGUUCGACCUUUGAAUCUUU
rnacentral:rRNA from 1 species